rnacentral:rRNA from 1 species
UCUUUCCCAGUGCCCCAGCUAACGCGGUAAGCACGCCGCCUGAGUAGUACGGCCGCAAGGCUAAAACUUAAAGGAAUAGACGGGGACCCACACAAGCGGUGGAGCAUGGGGUUUAAUUCGAUAAUAAGCGGAGCACCUCACCCAGACUUGACAUCCCGAGAACGUUCUAGAAAUAGAACAGUGCCGCAAGGAACUCGGUGACAGGUGGUGCACGGUCGUCGUCAGCUCGUGCUUUGAAGUGUACUGUUAAGUCAGCAAACGAGCGCAACCCUCAUCCUAUGUUGUUAUUUCAUAGGAGACUGCCGCCUCCAAGGCGGAGGAAGGUGAGGAUGACGUCAGAUCUGCGUGUCCCUUACGUCUGGGGCAACACCCGUGCUACAAUGGCCGGUACAAAGGGCAGCGAACCCGCGAGGGAGAGCCAAUCCCAAAAAACCGGUCUCAGUUCGGAUUGAAGUCUGCAACUCGACUUCAUGAAGUUGGAAUCGCUAGUAAACGUGAAUCAGCUACGUCACGUUGAAUAUGUUCCUGGGUCUUGUACUCACCGCCCGUCAACUCAUGAAAGGCAGGGGCGCCCGAAGCACCUUUAUUCUUCGGAAGAGGUACCACGGUGAAACUGCUGAUUGGGAGUAAGUCGUAACAAGGUAUCCGUAGGAGAACCUGCGGAUGGAACACUUCCUUA